CCAUUACAAGUCCGGUUUGCUCAUACCUGUACUAUGUUCAAAAUGAUACAUUUUAUUAGUUUGUAUUCCCAUACCUUAGUCACACAGUUUGAUUCAACUCAAUUUUACAGAUUAAAUGUUAAAAAAUUGUUUUAAAGGGGCACGUAGGCACAUGAUUACAUUACUGGACCAGUAAUUCAGAAUAGGCAUGCCAACCAAGAUAUCCCAUCUAAGCUAGUCUCAUUUGCUCGCAACUGGCCUAUAUAGGUUUAGUAGGUAGGACAGGGAUAGAGAUCUGAUAGGAUAAACUAUGUUUACUUUAAUACAAGAAGCCUCAAGGUAAGGCAGAUGGAUUGACAUAGGGGGUUACGAUAUUGUAGUUACCGGUAUUUCAGAACAUGGUUGAGGGACGGGCAAGAGAGGCAGCUCAGUGAUCCAGGUAUCAACUCUUCCGGUGUAGUAGGGUCUCAACCCGAAAAGCCACCCAUUCCUUCUAUUCAGAGAUGCUGCCUGUCCCGCUGACUUACUCCAGCAUUUUGUGUCUAUCUUUGGUGUAAACCAAUAUCUGCAGUUCCUUCCUGCACAUUUUGUAUGAAAAUCUCCUCAAGGUAUGUCUACUUUGAAGAAGUUCUCCUCCUCUCUCCGAUGAGGGUUCUGUAACAUUCUCUCUCACUGCUCCCCCUCUGUGAUUCCUCCUGCUCACAGCUUACCCAUCCUUAUCUCUAUGUUUCCCUCUCCCCUGACUCAGUCUGAAGAAGGGUCUCAACCCGAAACAUCUCCUAUUCCUUCUAUCCAGAGAUGCGACCUGAGUUCCUCCAACAUUUUGUGUCUAUCUUCCGGUGUGACCGAAGUGGAGGCAAUAUCUAAGAGGAGGGGAAGUUGUACUAUUGAUUAGGAAGAGCAUCAUGACAAUAUUUUGGAGAUGAUAUAUUGGGGGUGUGUUUGGUGAGCCUUCUAAUUUACUUUAGAGAUACAGCGCGAAAACAGGCUCUUUAUCCCAGAGUCUGCACCGACUGGCGAUCAUCCCAUACACUAUCACUAUCCGACACACGAGGAACAAUUUUCAAUUUUACCAAAGACACAAACCUGUACGUACCUGAGGCAGGUUGUCUAGCGGGAUAUUGAUCAACUGAGAACAUGAGCCGGAAAACGCAGAGGGAAUUUAACUUGGGAAAGAAUGAACUGGUGCAUUUUGGGAAGUUAAGCUGGGGUGUGACAUAUAUGGCGGAUAGCAGGGCCUUUGGGAGUGUUGUUAAAUGGAGAGACAUUAGGGUACAAGAGCAUAGUUCCUUGAAAGUGCAGCACAGAUAGACUGGGUAGUGAGGAAGGCAUAUAAAAUGCUUGCCUUGUUCAGCCAGUAUGAAGUAGCAGCAGCUGCACUGCCGUACCAGUGCACCAUAUUAACUUGUCUCAAUCGUUUCAUAGGACCUCACUGCGUAUAAACUACUGCAGUGAUUGAUGUGGGGUAUGUCAAGACAUUUCACUGUCCAUAAGAAAUAUGAAAUACUUACCAUUUUAUAUAUUUUAAUUUCUAUUGAAAGGUUCAUUUCAAAACAGAACAAUUUGUUCCCCUUGCAAGGACGGAACUUACACAGAGGUGAAGAAUUCUCUGCAGAAGUGUCGCAAGUGUUAUGGGCCCUGCAUGGGUAAAGUCUUCAAAUACCUUCUUUAAUUCUCCAGUAAACGUUAACAAUUCCACCAGCACAUUAUCCUCUUGAAGACUGCGUGCACUUUGAACACCAACCUGUGUUCAAAGGCACAGGCGGUCUUCCCGCAAAGGGAAUAUAUAAAUGCUUGAGGCAAAGUCCACAAUUUCUAUUAAAAUUGAAUUAGAUUGAAUCUGAGCCAGAGCUUUCAGGUUUAAAGUUUGGAAAUACUUCUACAGGCAGAGAAGGAAAUUUGGCCUGAGCAUCUGUACCAGAAUUUUGAUAAGUAAAGUUUCCCAUGACAGCAUUAUCAAUGAUUCUCUCUGUACUGAGCAAAUGAUUACGAAUAGACACUUGAGCAAGGCUAUUUUACUUUGAUCUUGGUGCCAACCUAAUCUAGCAACCAGCUGAAAAGGCCUUCCGAUACCUGAAAAACAACAAGGCCUCUGGUGCAGACAAUAUCCCUAAAAUCUCUAAAACAUGUCAGAGAAGUUCUUCUGGCCUGUAUUAUUGACUGUAUCUCCCUCAGAGAAGAGUGUACCAUAGGAUUCUUGAGAUGCUGGAUUCAUGAUCAUCUUCAAGUGUUAAAGAUAAAUUCUCUGGAGCAGCCUGAGAAGCCAAGUGUUUUACUCUUACUACAAAUUUGACUGAACGAUGAGGAGAAGUCACAGGAAAAGUAUUUUUAAAUUCAUUUUCAGGGUCAGGGGAUCGUUGACCAUACCAGAAGCUAUUCCCCAUCCCUAAUAGGUUGUAGUGAGCCAGCUUCUUGAACCACUAUAGUCAUUCAAGUAAAGAUUGGGUGGCACGGUGGCACAGCAGUAGAGUUGAUUCCCUACAGCACCAGAGACCCAGGUUCGAUCCUGACUACGGGUGCUGUAUAUAUAGAGUUUGUAUGUUCUCCUGUGACCUGUGUUGGUUUUCCCUGGGAGCUUCAGUUUCCUCCCACUCUCCAAAGACAUACAGGUUUUGUAGGCCGAUUGUCUUGAUAUAAUUGUAAUGUGUGUAGGAUAGUGUAAAAGGCCUGUCCCACUAUACAAGUUUACCCAACAGCUUUCCCGAGUUUAAAAAAAAAUCGAACUCGUGGUAAGUACGUAGAAUGUACGUAACGGGUACGUCGGAGCUCGGGACAUCUCUUAGUGGCUCGUAACGCUAACGGCAGGUACGUGGGAAACGCGGUAAGUUCGUGAAGUUUUUUCAACAUGUUGAAAAAUGUCCACGAGAGCCCAGAGUACCUACGAGUGGCUAUAACCGUAAUUCUCCGAGUUCGAAUCAGAGGAAACUCGGGAGAACUCUUGAAUUACCUCGUACAGUGGGGCAGGCCCUUUAGUGUAUGGGGAUCACUGGUCGGCACAGAUUCGGUGGGCCGAAGGGCCUGUUUCUGUGCUGUAUCUCUAAGGCUAAACAAAAAAACUAUGUACCCACAGUGCUCUUUGGAGGAGGCAGUUCCAGGAGAUCAACGCAGCAACAAUGAAAUGUUAAUUAUAAAUUUCUAAGGCGGGAUGUUGUGGGACUUGAAGAUGAACUGGCUGCUGGUGAUGUUCCACACCCCUUUUACAUCUACUCUUCUUGGUGGUUGUUGUUGCAGGUGGCAGUGUCGAAUCAGUUCCAUGCAGCACAACAUCAAAUCGAAAAUGUGAAUGCCCUCUCCAUUAUUACUGUGCUACAGAGGAUGCAACAAAAUGUGAAUACUGUAAAAGGUGCGAUGCCACAAAGGGACCCCACAAAGGUAAUGAGGAUCACUACGGACAGGCAUGUUCCUGUGCUUCAGGAACAUUUCUGAAUACCACGAACAGCCAGAAAUGCCAGCCUCACACUAACUGCGCAGCUUUGAAUAUGACCAUUCGUGUUAAAGGCAACAGCACUGCUGACAACCAGUGUCAUUCAGCGAUUAAUUCUUCACAGAUAAAUAA